GCGAAAGAUGGUCGUUGGGGCCCCGUGGCUGGAUAAUCAUUUGCCAUUAAUCAUUUAAUCAUUUAAGCGCCACAGUAACUCAAGAGCAUUAUCCACACGCCAGAAAGAGAUAGCGCUAUGGAGGAAAAAAGCACGGACGACGGCUGACAGCGAUUGGCCGUCUGACACACCAACACAUCCAAACCUUCGACAGUGCGCUCAGGCGAGGGAUAUGAGGCAGAGCCAGGGACGGGUAGCUCAACGAGCUGCUUGACAAAUUUGCCGUUGGAGAGAAAAGGAAGGCAUGAGAAAAUUCUCCGAACGUCAUGAGUUCUUCCGCCGCUUUGCACAGCGGGAUGGUUUUGUAUGAAGUGGUUACAUGAUUUCAGCCUCCAACUGUCAAACUCCAUACAAAAAACUGACUAGAAUCGUGAAGGGCCCCAUUGUCGUAAAAGGAUUCGUAAUACACGGACGCGUACGCCAAACAGUCACAUUAAAACCUGAAUAAAUAUCACUGCACUUUAAACUCAAAUAUAUUGACUAAGUAAACUUUGUAUGGUGUAGCAAAUCAGCAUUUUGUUCGUCAUAAUGUGUCUGUUUCGUGUUUUUUAGUUAUUUCCACCGGUUUUAUAUUUUCUUCUUUGAGAAUUUUUGUGGUUUCUUUGGACUAUUUUUGUGAUUUCAUCUUCUUCCUAUUGGUAAGAGUCGAAGUUGACAUUUAUCAUUUUAAAAUAGUGUAGGAGUCACUUGGGCCAGUCUGGUGGUACAGUCGUCAACGGUCACGACAACACGACUUAACAACAUGCCCGUCAUGGGUUCAAGCCCCGAAUCGACCGUACCCCCAUACGUAGGACUGACUAUCCUGCUAUGGUAACAAAAAGUCACUGAAAGCCAAGCUCACUAGUGAGUACAGGCAGACCUUGACCGACAACGGUUGUUGUGCCAAAGCAGAAGAAGAAGAAAAAGUAGGAGUCGCUUAUACAGGCCUCCCACCGGUCACCAGCACUCAGAGAUCCUUUGAAUACGCGCUUGAAUAAGAACUUGAAUUGGCGAAAUUAUUCAAGUGAUCCGUCGGGUCCCGAAGCCGAAGCAAACCCGAGGCCGACGCAAAACCCGAACGGGGGUCUGCACGAACCUUCGUUUAAUUACCCAACCAGCAAAACCGAAGCUAUUGAAAAACUUUCCUGUGUGCCAAAGCGAGAGAGCAUGUCUUUUUUCUCUAGAUUUUGGACGGCACAACGCCGAUCGUGUGGCCUAUGAACGAAAGACGGGAGAAGGGGAAACCGAUAUCCUUCGAGUCACACACACGCAUGCAUCUGCAUGCGUAUUCCGCUAAACCAAGACUACCCAUCUCUCUUGAUCUCCCAUGAUUUUUCUGCUAUCGCGCUCAUCCGGGUGUUAGGCAUCCUCAGUCUGUCCAGAACUUUCACUGUGGAAGGAUGUGUUGGAGUGAUGUGUGAUUUCUUGUGCCCCGUAUUUUGCUCGUUUACGUUUUGUGCCGUGUUCCUUCUUCUUCAAUUAUGGAAUGAUUUAUCCUUGUAAAUUUCUAAGUUACAGGUGCACGCGCAUGUUAAUCGACGGUUGCCCACGGAAGGACGAUGUCCGGUUUUAAAAUAUCAAGAUAUCAUCACAGUUCUUACGUAGAAGAGCGCACUUCAAGGAUGCAUAGGAUACGGCUAAACAUGCGCAGCAUCAGUCCGUGACGUCAUUUCCAGACAGGCGCCGGCUGAACACGCGCAGCACCAGUCGAGGAUAUCCUAGCGCAAAGGGUAGAAGGAAGAACGAGAGGAAGGGUAACAGAAAGCAACCGCAGCAUUUGGAAGGGGUGAAGCAUCCUGCCGUAUACAGAGUGUGAGUGUUCCAAAACGUAUGUGGAAAGAGUAACACCAAUAAACAGCAUGCGAAAGUGUGCAUAAAGCAAAAAGAAAAAGCGUCACUACUACAAACAGCAAUCCGAAAAUAUAAGGGGAGGGAUAAAUACAAAUGUAUGCGUAAACAGGACCAGCAAUCCAACCAUUUGAAUGUGUGCGUCGGUUUGUGCCGCACUGAAAGUUUUUACUUUAGCUGCUGCUAGUGUAAAAACUUAAGGAAAGCUUACAGUAAACAUUUUUUACACGGGGCGCCUUCGGAAAUUGUAGGCUGGGUAGUCCCCUCCCCCUUUUUUGCCAGGAUUUCUUUCCGAAAUGAUACAGUGCACACCAUUAUACUAUAGUAAUUCGAUUUAUUGAAUAUCGAACCAACAUAGAAUACAAAAAAACACAACACUUGCACAAUAACCACUGCACUUAAUUCUAAAUCA